CCCCCAUCAUCCCCACAUCCUGACCCCCCGCCCGGGCUGACCCCCCGAGGGAGGAGGAGGAGGAUGGGGGGGGUGGGGUGCGCAGGCACUUCUGCAGGCGCAGCCCUUUGCAUCAAGGUGCGCUGCAAUCCGGGGGGGCGAGGUGGCUUCUCCUUAACCCCCGCCUGGCCGGCGGCAGCGCCGCCCGGAGCCCCGCUCCCCCUCUCUCCCCCCCCCCCCCCCCGCCCCGCGCCCCGGCUCCAUCCCCCGCUGUACCGCGCUGCCGCCCGCCCCCCCCGCCGCGCCAUCCCCCGCCGAGCCGCGCUGCAGCAGCGGGGACGGAGUUGUAGCGGUGCUGGGUGGAGGGGGCGAGAGAUUGGCUAUAAGGAGAAGGCUGACGGCUGCAGCAUGAAGCGCAUUAUUACCUUGUGAUUCCAUGACCCUCCUCUAUGCAUCCCUAACUCUCGAAAGCUGAUUCAGCUUUCAGCUAGUGCUCUGGUGAGUCCUCUGCUGCAACAGAAGCUCCUAACUGCAUCUGCUGUCUUUGGGGGUUCGCUUGUCUGCGAGGUAGCGUCUCACUCACAGUGACCAGCAGAGGAAAAAUCACUGGAUUCACUAGAGGAGACUACCUCUUCGAAGGAUGGCAAGCAUGCCUUCAGGUACGGAGGAGGCAGCCCAGACGGAUGGGGGAGAGAGGGAGGCGAGUGGACUGGGAAGACAGAGAUUUUCCCGGAGAGCAAAAUUAACCCUUUACGAAGCCUCUGGGAUUAAAGGGGUGGCUUAGUUCUCUCACAGCGUCCGCCCUUCAGCCCGUUUAAACACCAUGCCUUUUCCAAGAAGCGAAGGGCAAGGAGGAGCACCGAUGAGCAAUAAAGAAAUAAGCAGCAAAGCACUCGUUUCACCGGCGUUUUCCCAUGAAAAAUGAACCCUCAAGCGCACCCGGAGAUUUGUUGUCUAAGUGGCAAAGCUCGCCCAAGCUCCCGAUUUUGCUUCCAGCAGAGAUGCUCGUUGCUCAUUCUCACACCCGGGAGCAACUCGGACCCAUUACGCGGCGCUGGCUCUUCCCACCGGCACCUGCCUGUACCCGGGGUGGGACCAGAGAUACGGGCAGUGAGCAAAAAAGUGGGGAGAAAACCCCUCUUUCUCCCCGUACCCACUACUAGGAACUUGUGGGAAAUUAUAACCAACUUGGCAAUACUUUUUUACCCUUUAGUACAACAGGAUAGGCUAUGGUUUCAUGUGGUUUAAGAGAAAACCAAGCCUAGAAGAAAAGCCUUCUACUUAAAAAAUACAUGUGUGUGUAUAUAUAUAUUAGAAAAAAAUACACACAUAUAUGUACAUACACAUUAUAUAUAUACACAUAUGUAUAAAAAUAUAUAUACUUGCCUUCUGGCCCAUGCUGUGAUAUCCCUGCAGAUAUUCCUGCCCUCGGAUGCAUGCAUCUGCAGGGAAUUUUUCCUUUCGAGCUGUAGCGCAGGGACGAUGCUAUACAUGGUGCUUUGGGAAAACGGCACGACAAGAAUUCAUUUUGGGGAUUUAAAGGUCUUCCAGACCUGCAUUUUCGAAAAGGGAAACUUCAUAUCUCGACGGGUGUUUUGGAACAGGAGGAACGAAGGAUCUAAUGCAGUGAAGUGUAAUGUCAGCGAGGGCAAAUUCGUUUUGCGUUUGGAUACGACGCGUUUUAUAGAGGCUAAUUUGGGGCUUAAAAGAGAAAUUAUUAUUCACAUCCGCCCAGCAAAGGAAAUGGGUGACGCUGGGGGGUCACUACUGACUUUGGCGGGUUUUGAAGUGGGUACCCGAGAGGAAGGGACCCUCCCAGCGCCCUGCCUUGCCCCUCUGCGCCGCUUAUGGGUGCUCCAGCUUGGGACCCCCGUAGGGUUCGUAGCCCAGCUCACCGCCUUUGGAUGCCAGCUCAAGCUGCAGAAAACCCCAGGUCCUGGUAGAUCCUAAACACGGCGCAAUACGGUAUUACUGCCUGGGGUAACUUUUGGUUUAGAUGUAUUAUUUCAAUAAAGAGGUCUUCAGACAGUGUUAAAUGACAGAUGAUAUAAUUUUUGAAUGCGAUGUUCAUCUGAAUUUUAUUUUCUGAUGUUUUGACUCAUUGACUUGAUGUCUCUCUAUUAUGCACACACCUCUGGAGACGUUGCUGGCAAUGAUUAUGCAUAGCAUUGAGUUAGUGAAUAAAACCACUCCAGGAACUGCUUUACAGAUCACAGUAUCGUUUUCUCUAUAAUUGUCCCACAAACGGUGGAAGUUAUAUGGAGAGAGCAGCCCGCUCUGACAGACUGCAUAUUUUUGCAGUGUGCAUCAGAUCUCACUUUGGCUUCUGAGACUUAUUUCCGAUGGUUCUUGGGGAUUUAACUUUAAGACCAGUGUAUUUUAGUAUCCAUAUACGCUCCGCUGUUCAUGUCAUUCGGCAGCAACCGAGGAUGAGCUGUCUCCUUCAUAUGGAUGAGACACCAAUUUAUCUAAGUUAUCACCUCCCAAUCUCUCAUUCAUCUCUGCUGCUAACUGCUGUGUUUCUGACAUCCAUACCUAAACUAUCAGCAACUUCUUCUCCUUCAAUUGAAACCAUAAGUAAUUUUUGGCUGGAAGUUUCUUGUUAUGUAUAUAAUGGCUUCUUCAUCUCCCAGCCGGAAUUCAACCAGCAGGUGACUGACGCAGGCUCUGGACACCGCAUUUUAAACCCACAGCGUUGCAGAGAUCCACGCAGCACACUAAAUCAAAAGGCAGGGUGUCUUUCCACCCUCUGAAAAUAUAUGACCAAAUUAACACGUCCCGGGCUUGCUUUGAGCAACGCUGCGGCCCCGGCUGCGCACAGCCCAGGCACUUGACUGCAACGUCAGCAGUACUUUCCCCCAUCCCGACGCAUUCCCAAACCGGCAAAACUUAGCCCUACUCCUGGUAUUCUCUUUAUAGAAGGUCCCAGGGGUAUUAUGUAUCAAAUAAAGGUCUCAUUACUUAGUUUCUGGUUCCUUCACGCCGUUGCUCUCAUUAAUCAUCCUGUUCUUCAAGCCCGUGCUACAAGGCGUUAGAACUGCCUUGGAGCUGCCUCGCUCCCCACCCCUAAAUUAGAGAUUCCUCCCCUGCCCUUCCCCUGCCCCUCGCUGCCGCACGUGCCGUGGGGAGCACAGACCCCCUGGGGACCGCGGCGGCUGGUGGGGACAGUGCUGGGCGACCGGGGACCUCUUGGCCAUCGACUCUGGGCUUGAGUCUUAAUGCAAAGAGGUGCCCACCCGCUUCUGCCCAGCCUGGUCUCGGGGCACCUGGGGGAGCUCCUGCUGUUAAACACCCCAACGCUCUCCCUUUGUGCCUUCUAGCAUCUCUAGAUCCAGCCCCCCCCCCCCCAGGAAAACUCUUAGGUUGUGCCCCAAAUCUGC